rnacentral:rRNA from 1 species
AUGCUUGCCAUGAUUCCUUCUAGUAUGUUGCAUCUUCGCACUACUAGCAUGCUUGACUUGAUCGCUAUGAUUGCUUGCUAUGUUGCAUCACCCAUGUUCCACUAUUACUUGCUUUCUUGGGUUGAUGGCAUAUAUGUCCAUGCCUCUCACUUGAUUUGUCAUGAUCAUUGUCUCUUGUCUCCAUUAGUUGCAUCUCUCAUAUCACCUUGUAUUGAUUGCCAACUUGCUAUACUUAUUGAUCAUGGAGACUUUGACACCUUACUUGUGAUGCAUGCUUCUUUACUUGAGCAUCUUGUAUUUGGUUGUUCUUGCAUCAUAUGUCUCCAUACUAUGAAAUGCUCCCUUGUACCUUCUUAUGAUGAGCUUGAUGCAUACACUUGUUGGGUAUCUUACCACACGAAUGAUAGGUUUUGCAUUUCCGCUAACCUCAUUUGUUUUUCCGAGUGUUUAUCAUGUUCUUUCAUUUUGGAGGAUUCACAAGGCGGCGUCGUUAUGCGACAUAUUGGUUAUGUGAAGGCAUACAUGAUGUACGACUCCAACAUCUUUGGGAACUUUCUUGAGGUGAACUCCUUCUCUUUGAGCCAUCCUCAAAUACGCAUAUUGGAUGGGUCACUCUUUCAUUGUUGUUUCCUUCUUGUUGUCUCCAUGAUACAUCUCGUGAACGGAGGAGCGAGAUUGGAGAUUGGCUAUAUGGACCUUCACAUUGAGGAGCGCUCGCACUUAUUGGAUGCACCUUCGGAACUCCACUCAUGCCUCGACAUCGAGCUUUGGUACACCAACACCUCCAUAUUUAUUGAUUGUGCUCAUACAUGUCAUGCUCGAUGGACAUAUCAUACUCACCACAAGUUUGCACCCCAUGCAUGGAUUGACUCACAUUAUGAUUGCCUUGUUAAAUCUUGUAUUCCCAUGUCAUCCAUGAUAUAUGACCUUGUGCAUUUCCUUAGCAAAUUUGUUGUGAUCUACCUUUAUGGCAUAUUCAUACAUCAUUAUCAUAUUGUCCACCAUCAAUUGCAUGAUAGCUUACACAUAUUGAGCAUCCAUUGCCAUAUUCAUGCUAUUGAUAAACCGUCUCACCAUGACAUUAUUUUGCACCGUGGUUGCAUUGAUCAUAUUCACAACACAUUUGUGUGCACCAUGAUUGCAUUUCCUCCCAUGAAUGCUUUGCAUCUCAUUCUAGAUCAUCUUGAUAAGCUUCAUGCACUUUGUCACGACCAAUCUUGCCGCACGGACUCAUUCUUACAUGAUGGACACUUUGUGUGCGCUAACCAUUGUAUUUUCGAGUGUUGCUUGUGUUUGCUCUUUUUGCAUGUCUAUCACUCCGGUGACACCUUGGACUACUUGGAUUGCGCCAUGUCUUCAACUUCGUCCAACUACAAGUCCGUCUAUGACAACCGUUUCCAUAGUGAUGAGGAUCACGAUCUGAGGUCGGAUCUUUCCCAAGGGGGGGGGGGAGAUGAUGCGGAGCAUCCCUCGUUCAUCCCCAUGUACACUCCGACUACUCUCCAAACCCCAAGAGGACAUAUGACGAGACCUCGAACAUACGCCAUUGGAAUUAAGGUGAACCCGCUCUUCUUUGAGAAUAUCAUGAAUAUCCAUUGGACUUGCUUGCUACCUCACCAAAGUGCUUUGUGUGUCCUUAGAUACGAAAACCGACGACCACAAGCUGGUGAGGGACACCCCAAAGGAGUUGGAGAAGGACCACAAGGCCACAAGGAGGAAGGAGUGCAACAAGAUCAAUUCAGCACCUCCCAGGCGACCCCGUGCCCACGGGCCUCGAAGACCCCGUGCGCACGGACUACUCAGAGAGCUGGUGCCGGAGCACCCCGUGCGCACGGGCCCAACUUACCCCGUGCGCACGGGCUCAUCAGGAUGGAUGGCCGAGAGUCACCUAUUGGGCCUCCACUUCGUCCCCUUCCUCCACCUACCUAUAUAUAUCCCUCUCCCUCCUCCAUUUAG